rnacentral:rRNA from 1 species
UACAGAGGUCUCAAGCGUUGUUCGGAUUCAUUGGGCGUAAAGGGUGUGUAGGCGGCUUGGCAAGUUGGAUGUGAAAGCCCACGGCUCAACCGUGGAAGCGCACCCAAAACUGCUUCGCUCGAGUCUCGGAGAGGAAGGUGGAAUGCUUGGUGUAGAGGUGAAAUUCGUAGAUAUCAAGCAGAACACCUGCGGCGAAGGCGGCCUUCUGGACGAUGACUGACGCUGAGACACGAAAGCGUGGGGAGCAAACAGG